AGUCAGCCUGAGGAGAUGAAGAACACACCUGGUUUUUAAGACAGCCUGUCCCUCCACACAGACUCCAAAGUCUGUGUAUCACAGCUUUCCCUCUGUUCUUGCAGAAGACUUGAAGAAUCCCUGAAGAACUACUUUAGGACGGGCUUUUUCACCAUGAGCUGGUAGGGACACGCAGGAAGCCAUUCCUGAGAAAAAGGACUUUCACAACAAUCACUGCACAUCUAAACCCAGUGAGUUUGCCUUUGGGGCUACACUGAUCCCAGCCAUGGAGAGAUGGAGCUGAGGCAGGUUCAGGGGAGCUGGAAUCCAACACGUUCUGAGUGCCUGGAUCCACGCCUUGGCUCUCCCAGGGAUACCUGAGUGACAGUGAGGGUGUUGUGUAGUUCACUCAUGGAAUAUGCAGAGCUGACACAUGGAACUGGACAGAGAUCUUGACAAUGGAUAAGGUUUGUGGUUUCACAGGGUGUCAUCUCUAAUUACCAGGAAGGUUCCCUGGUUCAGUUCCAGAAUGGAAAAGGAAAAUAUUUUUAUCUACUUUAACACCACACUGGCACUGUCAGAUGAUUCAUAGGCUCUAGAGAACACAGACAUUACCAGCUCAGCACAUUUGUGUACCAAUCACCAUUUGUCAUAUGUGAGUACUUCCCACAGUCCUAAAAAGGGAUUUGUUUUCUGUAUUAUUUGCAGGAAAUGUAACAAACUCCACACUGAAUAGCAAAACAAAAACAGCACUUGAUUGUUUUAUCGAAUAGUUGCCUAUUUACUUGGCAAAACUUCACUUUAGGAUUUUUUUAUGCUGUCUAAUAAAAGGACCCCCACAGCUGUCUUCUCUGUGGAGAAAAGCUGUCGACAACCAGUAUAAUUUUCUGCAUAUUGAGUGAAGUACUUGAAAGUCCCAGAUCCAUUUUAAUAUGUGAGCAGCACUCCCAUUUGUAUGCAGCUGGAGAGAGUAGUUUUAUCCUCAUUUUAAAAAGCCAUAUGAUAGAUUUCUUUCUUUAAACAAAUACUGUCUGAAACUUUGCUUUCUUCUCACUCUUUCCCCCAGCAUACACCUUUCCUCUCUUGUUAGGCACCAGUGUGCUGAAAUCACUGUGCACUGCUGACAUCUCACUCGUUAUACAUAAAAUGAUGCCAGCACCAUUUCUUUUUUGAUGUCUCUGUGCAUGGUCUUCUGGAAUAAUUCCCAGAUUAACUCUUUAUUAAUAUAAUUUUGGCAAAACAGUUGGUGAGGAAAUUCCAUUACACUGCCUUGAAUAAGGUCUUCAUUAUUCUCUGAAUUUUCUGAUUCUGGAUAUUGACAGUUUCCAAUCCUUCCAAGCCAAUCCUGGUCUGAGCUCUCUCCAGCCCUGAUCCUGCAAGAACUUUGCCACACAGCACUAGGCAGUGCUGCUCAGUCCUUGCACAGCUAUUAACUCUGAUGCAAUGAAAUGUUGUUGUUAUGGGUUGCAGGGAGCAUGUUUAACAUCCACAGCUAUUUUUAAUGAUUCUGUCAAAAGGAAGGAUUAUAGCUCUGAAAGCACAGGGAGGUUUUGUGUAACAGUCACAAAGCUUUGAACUCUGCACACACCAUGACUGAACAUACUGUUCAUGUGCUUCAACACAGCCUGACACUGCAAAAGUCAUGGUUGAAAAACAAGAUAUCUGAAGGUUACAGGGCAUUUCAUGGCUCUAGUGUAAACAAUAAAGCACCAAGGAUUAAGUGCCAAACAUGAUCAACCUCCCUGUCUGGAUAUGUCACAUCUCCCAGGCUGAGAAUGACUCACUCAAAUAACCUCAGAUGGCAAACCCCCAGGCAGGCAGGUUUGGAGUGAUGCUACCAAUUCAGCAUGGAGCAUGCGGUUCAAGGAGCAGGCACUGAGUAAUUCCCCACAGAGUGCUUGGAGAUGCUUUCACCCAAAUUCAAGAUUUCUGCUCCACAUUUUUGUUGUGAAUGAAAAUAAAAUAGUAGAUUCUCAAAUUUUGCAAUGGAAUUAAAAUUCUGAAAAUUUUACAUUGGAAAAAAGAAGAUUGUUUUAUUGCUGAUCAUUUUGUCUUAAACAAAUGAAGCCAACUGUAAAAAUCUUGGAUGAACCUGGAAACAGGAACCCUUAUGAAAGCAGCAGAACUGAAAGCCUCAAGGUUCCUGGGAUUGCUUGAUUCUCACCUACCAACACAGACAUAUGGACAUUCACUUUAACCAACAAUAUUGGAAUUUACAGUGACCACUGCUGGAGGAGCAAAAGAAUGAAGCACUACUGAGGAAGCUUUCCUAGGGCUUCCAGGUUACCACCUCCACUGGCUGGGAGUUGGGGUAGGAAUUAAGGUAUCCAAAUUUUUGAAGAAAGGAGUCAAAGCUGCAGGAGCUCCAACUUGGGUCAGAGAUCUCAAAAAUUCAGGGUUUCCAACUCUACCAAAGAUAGCUGGAAGAUAUGUGAGCUUCUAGGUUCAGCUCCUAGCUGAGCUUGAGAAAACUUGCUCAGUGCCCUGGAGUUGGAGGAAGGCCAUACAAAACCCAACAGAAAAGCUCAGAGACCCGUAGAAUUUCCUGUGAUAUAUUUUUGAUCUCAGUAACUCAGCAUUUUCUAAUGAAGUAGUGCUUACUGGAAAGUUUCUGCCUAUUUCCAUUUGGGAAGACAUUAUUCAGAUGGACAUGACACAUUUUGGAUGACAUGAGAGAAUUAAGUUUGGUCUUCUUGCCAAAUUCCAUCCUGGCAGAUAAUUUCUUACCUAUUUAAAUCCACCUCAUAUUAACAGAGGACAUUUUUUUAGCUCUCAUUCUGUCUUGCAGCUUUUGUACUGUUAAAUAUUAUCCACGUUUCAUCUCCCAUGUAGUUGCUUUUCACCAAAUUUAGUUCCAGGUUAGAGUAUGGAUCUGUAAAUGGGACUGGGAGCUCUGGGGGUCUCUAAAAACACCUGUGCUACUGCACGAACAUCAGUGCCAUAGAAGGAUUAUUUUUAGUACUGGAGAAGUUUUUGCAGAGCAGGGUGUGAUCCUACACAGAAUUGAACCAGUCUGAUGUCAAAUUAUUUUAUGCCAUUAUGGCACAUGACUGCUUUACAAAGUAGCUCUUGUAUUUUUCUAUCUCCUCAGGAACAUUUAUUCCUACAAUGGGGAUCCUGCAUUGAUUCCAAUGAAGACCCGGGCCCCUAUUGUGCUAGGCACUAUAGCAACAGACAGUAAAAGGCAGUCCUUGUUCCUAAAGACCUUUCUAUCUAAACAGACAAAACAUUGCCAGAGAUUUAUUCUUCCAUUUAUAACAGUUACAAAACAACUUGGAUGAAGAAUAAAAAAUGCAAUGAUUAGGACGUGAUGAUCCCAGCUGUGGGAUGGAUCCAUAUGGAGGUGGGAAGCCCCAGGCCAGUGAAAGCAUCGAGGGGUAUAAUCCUGAACCAGCUGCAGGAACGUGAGAACUCCUGCAGACUCUCCUGGGAGCCAGGAUUCCCCUCUGUUCCCAUUUCACCAGGUGCCUGCAUGCAUAACACAAUGCAGAGCUGAAGUGAUAUUUCCAAAUUCCCUGGCACUACAAGCAGAGCUGCAGCAUGGUCCCACUGCUCCUGUCAGGGGGAUGAGCCUGGGCAGAGCCUGCUACUGUCACUGUGCCUGUGAUGCCACGGUGCUGAGUGAGCACAGGCACAGCCCUGCUGCAGGGCUUCCUGCAGAGCUGCCUCGGGACACCUCACUGGGAGAGGGCUCCCGAGCUGCCCAGGUCACUGCUCUGUCACCAAAUCACUGACCUGCCACAGACAGUAAACUGAAUGAGUAAUUAUGGUCUGCAACACUCCAGGGUCUCCAGUGCAGGGGCUAUUCAGGUGACAGUGAACUCCCUGAACAGACUGUGUUUCUUGCUGCAAAUCCUCUCUCUAAGGGAUACAGACUAAAAAUAUUCCUGAGGUACGGCUCGUAAACAGACAUAUUCCCUGUUCUGGUCUUGCUGAUGUUCUGUGCUGUUACUUACUUAAAUUGCAUAGCGCCAAUAGGAGACUCUGGUAACUUAUUUCUUUUCUUUUGGAAGCGAUGCAAUGCACAAUAAAGCAGAGGUGGUAAUGAUUUAAAAGAUGCAGGUCUCUUUUCUGGACAUUCUGACUAUGAAUAUAAUAUAAUAGAGGUUAGAGUGAUGCUUGUUUUUACCCCUGAGUCUAUCAUAAGAUUAACCGUCUAUUAUUUUGCAGAACAAGCAGUAGCGCCUCAUCAAGGGUAUAAUCACCUCAGUCAAAAAACAAACAAGCUUUUACUUAAGGUGCUAAAAAUAUAGUUGAGAAACCUUCGAUCUCAAGACGUGUGAUAAAACAGACUGUGUUGACUGAGCAAAUCAGCAGCUGCUGCUGUGCCGGCUCCUUCACCCUAACAAUGCUUGCCUUUUUCUCUCCCCACCAAAUUUAGAGAUGAUGUCAGUGUAGCCAACCCCAGGAGUUCAAAAAUCAGAAGACAAACCAAAAUAGAAUCAUAGCAUUGAUAUCAAAGCCAUGGAAGUUAUUGAAACUGAAGCGGAUGAUUUGGGGGGUCAGCCUUUAGAGUUUUUAAUUCAUAGCAGACAGCCUUCUCCCUUCCAGUGUCUGCUCAGUUCUCCUCCCUGUCUGAUAUGCCCUAUUUCAGAGUGAGAGACAACACAGGACAAUGGGAAGCACAAAGGAUUGGGAAUCUAUUUAAAGGAUAUAUAAAGCUCGAUUUUCCACCGUAUGGAGAGCCUUAAUCCUGCAAAUACCUUCCCUGAACGCUCAGCUUCAUUCAUACAAGCAGCCCCAUGGAAGCCAGUGGGGGUCCUCUUGUACCUGAAGUUUGCCCCUUAUUACUAUUGCACGUCAGAAAUGUUGGCCUGCAUCACAAUAUUAAGAAUCAGCUAAGGAUGAAGUUUUCUCUGUGAUCUUGGGCAAGUCUUGAUUCAUUCUACGUCCCAUCUUCCUGCUCUUUAUAUGGGAUAGAAUUUAUCUCUACAAGGAACUUGGAAGCCUCCAGACAAAAGAUAAUAAAUGCAGAAAAUUCAUACAUUGUCUCUUUCUGAUGUAAAUUGAUUUCUUGAUAACACAGCUGGAAAGAAUGCUUAAAAAUCAAAAGUACGUCAUAAUUAAAUCUCCUAAUAAAACCAAACUCUUAGAAAUGGACUUAAUCCACCAUGGACCAACAGGAAAACAGAUUUCAACAGGAAAACAGAACCCUCUUCUCAAAAGACCAGUUCCUGGGACCCAGAAACUUGCUUGAUAAACUCAUACAGGAGUUUAUCAAGAUGUAAAUCUUUAGUUUAAUCUUUUUUCCACCCAAAAUAUCAAAUUCCUCUGAAAUUUAAAUUUAAAUGAUUGAUUCUAUUUUAAAGUUUAGUCUGAAUGUAAAGCCCAAUAUUUUGAAGCAGCAGCAGCAUGUUACAAUGCAACAGUUUGUUGGGAAAGUACUCACUUAAAAUAAUGGGAGACUUUCAUCUUUUAUUAAACAUUUGAAAUUACUAAAAGAUACUACCUUAGAGUUGCUUAAUUUAAAGAGGCAAACUGAUGCAUUUUGUUAAUUAGACCAUUAAAAAACUCAUUUAUGUGUAAAUAAGUCUAGGUCAUUAAAUCAUAAUGUACAGUGUCAACAUGAAAUUUCAAACUUUCUAGUUAUGUUAAAUAGCCCUAAAAAUUAAUUAAAAAUAGAAUCAGCAUCAAAGAAUGUAUUUCCCUCUCCUAUUUUUAAAGAAAAAAGACGUAUUUUUAGCAAUAAAAAAAUGCUAUUUCUGCUCAGUCCUCCAGUCACACAUUCUCUUUUUCUACAAGACAUUGUUUAAACUUAGAAGUACAGCACCUAUGUGUUGAUAUCAAUUAUCUUUUUGAAUAUUUUUAAAACACAACAGAAAAAUAGCUAGCACUGAUGUUGUCACUAAUUUUCAUUAUAUCAAGAACAGGUUAUUCCAGUGAAAUCACAUAUUGAAAAUUAGCAGCAUAACAAGGCAUGAUGAGUCAAAAAUGUUAUUUGGCACAGCCGAAAAGGCAAGGCUAAAAGUUUGUCUUCUGUUAAGGUUUGUGAGUAUUACAGUUCCAAAGUCAUAUGCUCAAUUGCUCAUAGCUUUAUGACAAAAGAUGUAUUUAGAUUGAAAACCUCUAGGAAAUUUCCAAGAUUCUCAGGCUGAUUUUAGAAAACAUCAGGAAAAAAAAGUAAAAAACAUUUCUGAAAGUUCAGCUGUUUCCAGGAACAGAAUAACAGCUGUCCCAUUUUUUUCCAGGGAGAUACUGGCAGAAGUUGUUGCCAAGACACUGAAGACAGAAUUGAGAGGACCUGGAACUGGGCAGUAGAACGCAGGAGAGAAAGGGACUGAUUGAUGAGUUUGAUGCUGCAAGAGAAGCCUGUGCAUCCUGGACAGCUGAACAAAAUGAGACAGAACUGGGGCAGAAAAGGGCACAGGAGGAAAUGGUGGGAUGGAAGAGACACCACAGAGAACAGCAGAGAGUGCAGCCUGGGGAAAAGGCCUGUGCCAAUCCAGUCUGGAGAGCAAAUCCCAAGGAUUUCAGAAUCCCAACCCUCACGUAAAAGCAAUCAGUAAUUAUCAUUUCCAUACCCACAGGUUACAAAUUCAAACAUAAAAAACUAAUUGCAUCUGCACAAUACAACAGUUUUGUAAGGGUUGAGUUCAUCAAUGCUUUUGCUUUUUUCCCUGGUAAACAUUUAAAACCAUUUAUUUAAAUUGAUAAAAAAUAACUGAAUGUUUUGAAUACAUUAAGGUUUCUACCACUUUAGGUAUACUUGUUCUUACUGACUUUCUGCAAUAUCAGCAAUGUAUAGAAAUUCUUGAUCUAUCAAGGUGGCAUCAGAGUGGAUAAUAACAGGCAAUUAUUCUUACGAAGACCUUGCACUUCUUCUAAGACUUAAAAUUAAGCUAAUUAUAUAAAAUAAUACAUUGAAAUCACUAAAUAUUCUUCUGACAUACACAAUCAAGUUUGUUAUACUGAAUACAUUUGGUUUUACUAAGAGGUUUUCAUCUGUAAUGGUAUACACAUCCUCUGAAUGCAUUCAUUAAUUAUAAAAAAUUCUGUAAACUUUCUGGAUUAUUUCUGUCUUGAAAUUCUCUUAGUGUUCAGAAAUGUACAGAAAGAACCAAAUAAAUAUUUUAUUCUGUUGUGA